GUAAUUUGAUCAGCUGCUAUCAAUCCUUGACACUAUAUAUCAAUUUGAUAUCAAGACUUUAAUUUGAAUCGAUUUUGUGACAAACAUAUAUAAAAUUAUUUCAAUUUAGUCCCAACGGUCAAAUUCCGACAAACGGUAGCGACGUGGCAUGCUGAGUAGGAAUAUUCUCGGUGUUUUGUCCACUCAGCGUGUGCCGCAUUAAUUAAUGACGCUGACUCACAAAUCCCAAAAUUAAACUGUAAUUCUAUUUUCCUCUCUUCUAUUCCCCUCUCAUCUCCUAUUCCCCUUUCUUCUUCCCCGCAACUCCCGUAACUCCUGUUACCCCCACUGUCACAGCAUUCUCGCAUUCGAAAAUCUCUCCUUCUUCGAGUAACUGAAAAUGUGUCAUAUAUCUAGUUCGUUCUCGAUUCUCCACCUGCUUAGCUUCGUCAGAAGCCUUAACAAAGUAUGACAGUUUAGCUUCGGUUAAAGUAUUAGCUUGGAGUUGUGACUCAAUUAGCAUAGUUGACCCGAUUGAAUUCAAGCUUAGACAAACUUGGAUUGUUGGUUGUAGAGUUGAAGUUUGCAGCUGAAGAAGGAUGUAUACUUUGUGGUUGUAUACUUUCAUUAAACUAAAAGCCUCAACUGGAGACAACGACAGAGAAGUUAGCAAAAAUCUAUCUUAUGGAGUUAGCAAAAAGCUAUUUGUGUAUACCGAAUGAAUUGUUAGUGUUGGUGUUGUAGCACCUUUUGUUAGUGCUGUAGCACCUUUUGUUAACUGUUUGUGUAUAGGAGAGGUGUUGUUAGUAUUGGUAGUUUGUAAUUUAAGCACCUCUUUCACAGUUGUAGUAGUUGAUUUCUUAUUGUAGAACCUGCUAUUAAAUCAAUAAAAUAAACAUUUAUUUCUA